rnacentral:rRNA from 1 species
AACGAACGCUGGCGGCAGGCCUAACACAUGCAAGUCGAGCGCCCCGCAAGGGGAGCGGCGGACGGGUGAGUAACGCGUGGGAACGUACCUUUGCUACGGAAUAGCCUCGGGAAACUGGGAGUAAUACCGUAUGUGCCCUUCGGGGGAAAGAUUUAUCGGCAAAGGAUCGGCCCGCGUUGGAUUAGGUAGUUGGUGGGGUAAUGGCCUACCAAGCCGACGAUCCAUAGCUGGUUUGAGAGGAUGAUCAGCCACACUGGGACUGAGACACGGCCCAGACUCCUACGGGAGGCAGCAGUGGGGAAUCUUAGACAAUGGGCGCAAGCCUGAUCUAGCCAUGCCGCGUGAGCGAUGAAGGCCUUAGGGUUGUAAAGCUCUUUCAGUGGGGAAGAUAAUGACUGUACCCACAGAAGAAGCCCCGGCUAACUCCGCG